rnacentral:piRNA from 1 species
UGUGUCUUAAUUUGGUCCAUCCUUCCCCAU